rnacentral:rRNA from 1 species
UACGUAGGGGCUAGCGUUAUCCGGAAUUACUGGGCGUAAAGGGUGCGUAGGCGGUCUUUCAAGCCAGAAGUGAAAGUCUACGGCUCAACCGUAGUAAGCUUUUGGAACUGUAAGACUUGAGUGCAGGAGAGGAGAGUGGAAUUCCUAGUGUAGCGGUGAAAUGCGUAGAUAUUAGGAGGAACACCAGUAGCGAAGGCGGCUCUCUGGACUGUAACUGACGCUGAGGCACGAAAGCGUGGGGAGCAAACAGGAUUAGAUACCCGCGUAGUCCCUGA